rnacentral:misc_RNA from 1 species
AGCAGCCGCGGUAAUUCCAGCUCCAAUAGCGUAUAUUAAAGUUGUUGCAGUUAAAAAGCUCGUAGUUGAAUUUCGGGGUUAGUAGUUUGGUCGUGCCAAUGGUAUGUACUGGGCUCACUGAUUCCUCCUUCCUGAUGAACUGUAAUGCCAUUAAUUUGGUGUUGCAGGGAAACAGGACUGUUACUUUGAAAAAUUAGAGUGUUUAAAGCAAGCUAACGCUUGAAUACAUUAGCAUGGAAUAAUGAAAUAGGACGUUCGAACCUAUUUUGUUGGUUUCUAGGAUUGACGUAAUGAUUAAUAGGGAUAGUUGGGGGCAUUAGUAUUCAAUUGUCAGAGGUGAAAUUCUUGGAUUUAUUGAAGACUAACUACUGCGAAAGCAUUUGCCAAGGAUGUUUUCAUUAAUCAAGAACGAAAGUUAGGGGAUCGAAGACGAUCAGAUACCGUCGUAGUCUUAACCAUAAACUAUGCCGACUAGGGAUCGGAUGAUGUUAAUUUUUUAAUGACUCAUUCGGCGCCUUAC